rnacentral:tRNA from 1 species
UGGAUCACCUCCUAACAGGGAGACAAACAACGAUUUUGAUGUCUGAGUUUUUUUAUUCUUAGGCCAAAAUCCUGUCACCUUAGGUCGAUCGGUACCUCAACUUUGAAGCUAAGAGUAUUCAGCAAUGGAUAUCUGCUUAGUGGAAAUUUUUAGUUCCUAAACUUUGUCUAGUUCACAACCCAUUAGGGAUGAGACUCCUGGGCCAUUAGCUCAGGUGGUUAGAGCGCACCCCUGAUAAGGGUGAGGUCCCUGGUUCAAGUCCAGGAUGGCCCAUUCGGUGUAGGGGGUUUAGCUCAGUUGGUAGAGCGCCUGCUUUGCAAGCAGGAUGUCAGGAGUUCGAGUCUCCUAACCUCCACUGACUACCAAAAUCCCCAUCUCCAAAACCUGGAGUAUGAACUCGUAUGGAUUGUGAUUUAGAUAUGUCCGCUAGAUGACCCUAGCUUCUUGUCAUUUUAAGGCAUGGAAAAAAUUCCAUGAUAUUUAAUUGAUAGGAUGCUGGGCUCGAUUCAAUGUAUUGAGAGAUCAAUGCAUUGUUUUGAUGUCUGGUCGAACCUUGACAACUGCAUAGUAAGUCUGGAAAGAAUAAAGCAUCUUUAUGGAUGCAUCAUUCUUGAGUGUGAAUUCACGAUGGGGUGGUGUUAAUUCUAAAGCAAGAGCCGAGACUCCAGCAUGUUCUUUCAAAUGUGUCGAGCAUUUGAGAGUUUGAUUUUAAUUUCUAUUUUUAGAAGUUAAAAGAAUCUGUUUCAACGACAGCAAGCGUGUUGGAGAUACAUUGGUCAAGCUACAAAGGGCUCACGGCGGAUACCUUGGCACACAGAGGCGAUGAAGG